GAUGAACGCUGGCGGCGUGCUUAAUACAUGCAAGUCGAACGAAUUGCUUUUCUUCGGAUUAGCAGUUAGUGGCGUCCGGGUGAGUAACACGUGGGUGACCUGCCCCGAAGUGGGGAAUAACUACCCGAAAGGGUUGCUAAUUCCGCAUGUGCUCGGAGAUUUCAUUUUUCCGAGUAAAGUCGUAAGGCGCUUUGGGAGGGGCCCGCGGCCGAUUAGCUAGUUGGUAGGGUAAUGGCCUACCAAGGCGAAGAUCGGUAGCUGGUCUGAGAGGAUGAUCAGCCACACUGGCACUGAAACACGGGCCAGACUCCUACGGGAGGCAG
rnacentral:rRNA from 1 species